UACAGAGGGUGCGAGCGUUGUUCGGAAUUAUUGGGCGUAAAGGGCGCGUAGGCGGUGCGGUAAGUCACCUGUGAAAUCUCCUGGCUCAACUGGGAGUCUGCAGGCGAAACUGCCGUGCUGGAGUGUGGGAGAGGUGAGUGGAAUUCCCGGUGUAGCGGUGAAAUGCGUAGAUAUCGGGAGGAAUACCGGUGGUGUAGACGGCUUCUGGACCAUAACUGACGCUGAGACACGAAAGCGUGGGUAGCAACAGG
rnacentral:rRNA from 1 species